UGACUUAUGGGUUGGUUCAUGCAUUAGCACCUAGAAUCCCAUUUAUUUGUCUUUUCUGUGAAACUCAAUUAAUGUGAUGUGAGAUUGUGGAUGUCAUCUCCACUGAUACAUGUUCCUUCAUGCAUUGUGCAGGAAAGCUGAAGGUCUUGGAUCAUCAAUGGAUUCAAGUCAUUUUUGAGCCACCUGAAUUCUUUAUACUGAACUCUUUCAUGCAUAAUUUGUUGUCCAUUGUAUAUAUUUCAAUACAACCAUUGGUCUAUUUUAUGGAAGGAAGGCUCAUGCUUUUUUCCUCUGAAAUUCAGUAUCGAAUCUCAAAUAUAAGGUACAAUGUAUCAAGUGGCGAACGUUACCCUGUACCAGACAAACCAGCUCCAGUUUACAUCACUGUCAGAGAUGGUGGAAAUCAAGAAGGUCUAGCUGGAAGAUUUUUAGAUCCCCAACCAGAGUAUUCUGCAUUCUGAGAAGCUAGUUAUGGUCAUUCGACACUGGAGAUCCAAAAUAGGACAUAAGCAUUCUACAAUUGGAACCGCAAUGAUGAUGGGAAAAAAGUGGCAACUGACUCGUUUGUAUUACACAAUCAGUACUGGUGAGUACAAUCAACCUUAAUCUGCAUAAGGCUGUAUGUUAGAUGAGGAAGCAUCAAAGUCUGCAGUGAAACAACUAAUGACCAUUUCUAAUAAUUUUGCUGAAAUUACCCCAGUGCAUGAAGCAUUUUUAGAGUGUUUGCAUGAUAUUAUUAGCAAAUAUGUUGUAGGAGAAUUAAUUCACUUGAAGAUAUGGUUGUGUUUUGUUGCAAGUCAAGCAAUCUGAGAUGAAGAAAACUAAAGAAGCAUGAGUAGCGUGCUUAAGCGUAUUGCUUCUUAUUGAGAAGAUGAGCUUUUGACUAAAGCAUUUCAUCUAUGGUACAAAUUUGGUUGAUUAAAUUUCAGUAAGAAGAUGAAAAUGCCAAAAUUAAUCAAAUCGAGUAAGCAAAGAUGCAAAUUCCUUAGCAUGAAGCUUCCCUUUGGUGUACCUUUUUAUUCAAAAUCAUGCUUUUUUUUUUUUUGGCUAAACCCCAAGACCCCGCCAACAGUGGCAGAAGGUUACAGAGGAAGAGAGCCAAGAAGAAGAAGAGCAAAUACAUGGUGUUUCAAUGGCAAAGAAUCAGACCCCGCCAAAUUAGGCAAAGAAAACUUUUUUUUUUUACAGCCUCUUCUUCUUCUUUAUCUUCUUCUUCUUCUCAUCUGUUAAGGGAUUUUUUUUAGGGUUUUUUUUUCAAUUUUUUCUUAAAUUGCGUGCGUUUUCACUGUGUACAUCCAACGUGGCAAGUUAACUUGCCACAUCAGCAAUCCUGUUAGGACACUAACAAAAAUUGUUAAUAAGUGACUAUUUUAUCACUUUUUUAUAAUGGUAGUGACUGUUUUAUUAUUUUUCAAAA